rnacentral:lncRNA from 1 species
GAGGUUCGCACAAUAAAUUACUAAACACAUAACAUUACCCUUAUUUCUGGAAGUUCACACAACAAACACAUGAAAUAAGACAAAUUGUUGUAGCUAAUGAAACAGCUGGAAUUACUUCCCACCAAUGUCGAGUUGAUCAUGAAAUAGGUAACCAACCAACCUAAUGCAAACAUCAAGAACAAACAUCAUCCAGGCAUCUCGUAUUUGUUGAUUUAAUCCAACCAUUUAAAGAAGGACCUGCAAGAAUGAAUUACUAGCAUGCUUUUCAAAUUCCAAUGCCAAACUCUUUUAUCUCUUCCCACCCAUUAUAUGGGGUCCAUUUUCUACAAGUGCUGGUUGGCACGGAGCAACCAGUGCUGGAAUCCUCAGCUACUUGAGACACCUGCAAAACCAAUUCAAGCAUGGCAUACACGUUCCAACUUGUAAGUCUUAUUAUUGAGGGAAACAAGAAAUAAAAACACUUAAAGAGAGGCAAGAAAUCAUGUCAAAUAUACAGCACCUCUAAUUGAGCACUCAUUGAACCAUUUGAUGUAGUAGCGAAUCUUGUGGUCAGCUUUGGACAUUGACGCACCUUCAACAUCAACAAACAAGGAAAUAUGAAAUCACAACAUCCAUGACUGAAGUAGACAAUGCUUGGUAAUUCUUCUAGACUCAGCCACUCCAGAUCAGGGAGCACCAUCUCCUUCUCAACAUUGACAUGUGAAGCAUGAUCACCCUGCCCAAAUACUCCCAAUAAUUGAGAGGAUUCCUUUACUUUAAGUUUUUUGAGCUUUUUGAGACCUGAAGCCAUGGCUAUCGGGAAGAGACUCUUCAACUUGUUGCAUCCUGUGAUCUCAAGUCGACACAAAUUAGGGAAGCAUGAAGAUUGGAGGUCACUUCCUGACAAUAUCUGAUCCUUUUCAUCAUCAUUAUCCUUAGCAAUGAUUUGCUCCAAUUCCUCACAGUCUGAUAUCUCUAGAAUUUUCAGUUGAAUUAGACUAGCAAUCAUGCUGUUUGUGAAUACAUGUGUCAGUCUCUUACACUCGUUCACCUCCAAAGUAGUCAAAUUGCUCGGCACGAGACCUUUCCAAAUACACCUCAAGUUUGGCAAUAAGUUCAAGUGUAAUGUUUCCAAACUCACGAUUGAAAGUUCAUGCCCACCUCUUCUAUUAGUUAUCAAACAUCCAACUUGCAUUAAAUCUUGUACUCCUUCCAAGUUUUCAAUAGAUAUUUCUUUCAAAUUCAUAAACCUCUACAUCAAAAGAAAACAAGGGUACCAAUUUGUUAGAUGUAAUUCAUAGUAUUUAUUGUGCACUUUUAAAACUAAACGAGAGGCAAGAAAUCAUGUCAAAUAUACAGCACCUCUGAUUGAGCACUCAUUGAACCAUUUGAUGUAGUACCAAAUAUUGUGGUCAGCUUUGGACAUCCAUGCACCUUCAACGUCGACAAACAAGGAAAUAUGAAAUCACAGCAUCCAUGACUGAAGUAGACAAUGCUUGGUAAUUCUUCUAGACUCAGCCACUCCAGAUCAGGGAGCACCAUCUCCUUCUCAACAUUGACAUGUGAAGCAUGAUCACCCUGCCCAAAUACUCCCAAUAAUUGAGAGGAUUCCUUUACUGUAAGUUCUUGGAGCUUUUUGAGACCUGAAGCCAUGGCUAUCGGGAAGAGACUCUUCAACUUGUUGCAUCCUGUGAUCUCAAGUCGACACAAAUUAGGGAAGCAUGAAGAUUGGAGAUCACUUCCUGAAAAUAUCUGAUCCUUUUCAUCAUCAUUAUCCUUAGCAAUGAUUUGCUCCAAUUCCUCACAGUCUGAUAUCAGUAGAAUUUUCAGUUGAAUUAGACUAGCAAUCAUGCUCUUUGUGAAUACAUGUGUCAGUCUCUUACACUUGUUCACCACCAAAGUAGUUAAAUUGCAUGGCACGAGACCUUUCCAAAUACACCUCAAGUUUGGCAAUAAGUUCAAGUGUAAUGUUUCCAAACUCACGAUUGAAAGUUCAUGCCCACCUCUUCUAUUAGUUAUCAAACAUCCAACUUGCAUUAAAUCUUGUACUCCUUCCAAGUUUUCAAUAGAUAUUUCUUUCAAAUUCGUAUACCCCUACAUCAAAAUAAAACAAGGGUACCGAUUUGUUAGAUGUAAUUCAUAGUAAUUAUUGUGCACUUUUAAAACUAAAUGAGAGGCAAGAAAUCAUGUCAAAUAUACAGCACCUCUGAUUGAGCACUCAUUGAACCAUUUGAUGUAGUACCAAAUAUUGUGGUCAGCUUUGGACAUUGACGCACCACCAACAUCGACAAACAAGGAAAUAUGAAAUCACAGCAUCCAUGACUGAAGUAGACAAUGCUUGGUAAUUCUUCUAGACUCAGCCACUCCAGAUCAGGGAGCACCAUCUCCUUCUCAACAUUGACAUGUGAAGCAUGAUCACCCUGCCCAAAUACUCCCAAUAAUUGAGAGGAUUCCUUUACUCUAAGUUGUUGGAGCUUUUUGAGACCUGAAGCCAUGGCUAUCGGGAAGAGACUCUUCAACUUGUUGCAUCCUGUGAUCUCAAGUCGACACAAAUUAGGGAAGCAUGAAGAUUGAAGAUCACUUCCUGACAAUAUCUGAUCCUUUUCAUCAUCAUUAUCCUUAGCAAUGAUUUGCUCCAAUUCCUCACAGUCUGAUAUCUGUAGAAUUUUCAGUUGAAUUAGACUAGCAAUCAUGCUCUUUGUGAAUACAUGUGUCAGUCUCUUACACUUGUUCACCUCCAAAGUAGUUAAAUUGCAUGGCACGAGACCCUUCCAUAUACACCUCAAGUCAGGCACAAGCACGUAGAACAAAUUCAAUGUUUCCAAACUUGUUAACCCCUGCAUCAAAAGAAAAUAAGGUUACCAAUUUGUUAGAUAUAAUUCCUAGUAAUUUUUGUGCACUUUGAAACUAUUAUAUAAUUUUGUUAAAUAAAUGAACCAAUUAUCCCCAAUACCGAAAUACUUAUCAACAAGAAGAUAUAGAUAGACAAGGCAACGGGUCAUGGGAAUAUAAAAUCAUAUUUUUUCAUAUUUAUGAUAAUCUGAAUACAAACUAUUAUUUUAUAUUAGUUAAAUUAAAAGCAAUCAUGAAAAAUUAUACUUUAACUCAAAAAAAUUAAUUUUUUAUAUUCGAUUUAUAAUUAAAAAAACAAUUAUGACAUUUUCCAAAAAUAAAAAUAUAAAAGAAAAUAAUUUGAAUUUUACAUAUUAGUAAAAUGUUUUAAUAAAAAUGCUUGAUUAUGGAUCAUUUAAAUUAUUUUUUUCGUAACGAAAGGGAAAACAAAUUGUAAAAAAAAUGAAAAAAAUAUUAGAAAAAUAUGUUUUUUUGAAUUCAAUACAAAUUUGGGGGCUUUUUGAAGUUCCUUCGAAUGGAGAAAUAUUGUAUUUGAAAAGAAAGUGUCAAUNNNNNNNNNNNNNNNNNNNNNNNNNNNNNNNNNNNNNNNNNNNNNNNNNNNNNNNNNNNNNNNNNNNNNNNNNNNNNNNNNNNNNNNNNNNNNNNNNNNNACCAAAUACGAAGCUUUAUCGUCCUGUCCAAAUACUUGUAUAUUCUCAGACGGAGCUUUAUCGUCAUGUCCAAAUACUUUCCAUUAAGGCAGAAGAGCCUCAAUUUCACUCCUUUUAAAUUCAGUGGAUGGCUAAAGGAUUUGCUAGCAUUUAUCCAUUACUUUAGUUAUAGAAAUCUGAAGGAAGAAAUAAGAGAUUACAUUACAGUAAUUGAUGUCUAACUUCCUAAGCCAAUUUAAAUCAUCAAUUAAAUUCGGUGGAUGGUUAAAGAACUUAUCAAUUACUUUAGUUUUAGAAAUUUGGAGGAAGAUAGAACAAAUUAUCACAAUGUAUUGAAGUUGACAUUUUAAAUUAGAAAAGAAAAAAAUUGGAGAAAUAUAAAGGACGUACUUGAAGCUGUGCCCACAAAUUACCCCAUUCUUCGUGGCCUUCAAUGGUUAACACUUGCAAAGAAGGCAAUUGGGCAGCAAAAUCCUUUGGACCAAAAAAGCUGCACUUUGAAAAAUCCUCUGGACCAAAAAAGCUGCUCUUUGAAAGAGUCAAUUUUCUUAGCUGAGGGAAGUCGAUGAUGUCAUCUCCUACUCCACUGUAAAAUACUUGCUUUAAAUUGUCAGCAAAAUCAAUCUCCAUCUUUUCCAGGUUCUGAAGACUUGGAGAUACGGAGACGGGGAAGACAUAUUCAAGUUUACGACAGAAUCUUAUAGAGAGUUUUUUUAAUUUUGGGAAGCCAAGAGACUCUGGAAUUAUUUCCCCUUCGUCAUCCUUCUCUCUGAUAAGACGCUUCAAUUUUAGGCAACCGAAUAUCUCAAGUGUUUCCAAAUGAAUAAGACUUUGAGCGAGGGACGGUGUGAAAAUAAAUGUCAGUUUGUCAAGAGAAUUCAACUGCAGAUGAAUAAGACUUUGGAGGCUGACAUGUCUGGUGGGCCCCUUCCAUAUACAUUUGAGCUCAGGUAAAUAGGACAGCUGUAACUUUGUUAAAGAUAACAGCAGCCGCAGCUCCUUCUCCUCGUUAAUUCCUUCAUCCAAUUCAAAUACCUCUUCCAAUGAUUUGCAGUUAUUAAUAUCCACACUUAUUACAUUUUUCAAAGCUUGCCGCCAUUUUGCUGGAAACAGAGUGCGAAUAUCCCCUCACUUCUGCGUGUUCUAAUCUUUGUAAGAAGUCCUUUUGCGACCCAUGGCCAUGGGUGGUCAUCUGAUCAUCUGAUCAGGAGACAAUACUAUAUUUUCUAAACCCUCAAUGUUUCUAAAAUCAAUUUCAGACACAGUAGGAAACAAUUGCUCAAAUGUCUUUGCAUUUAAGGAUGCGGCGCUGAUAUCACGCAAAUAUAAUCUUGUCUUUGCAGUUCGGUAUUUUGUAGAGAGUAACUCAAUCCCUAACACUAUAUCAUAUUUGAGCAACCUGGGAAAAACAAAAUCUCUGGGAAUGCAUUCAACCUUCGGUAUCUUCAAUGAUAAUACAGCUAAAUGAGACAGCGAACUUAGUUCUGUUAGGCUUGCAUUCAUUCCUUCUGUGCUGUCACGUCCAACAACAUCCCAUCCCUUGAAGCUCCCAUCCCCGAUCAACAGUUCUUCUAACUUCUUCAACCUUCCUAUCAAAUUCACAGGAAUCCUUCUUAGAUUGUAACAAGCUGUCAAAUCCAACAACCUUAACUCCUUGAGCUCCCCAAUUUCAUCGGGUAAUUCUUCAACGGAGGAGCGCCACAUGAAACCAAGAAUCUCAAGUCUUUGCAGCUUUCUCAACCAAAUGAGGUCCUUGCAUUCACACUCGAUCAAUAGCAACGAUUGAAGGUUCGUUGAGAAUUGAAGUGAUUGCAAUGACAAACACCCUCCCUUUAGAGACAAAACUUCAAUUGCUUUCAUCCCUUCAAAAAACCUCUCUGGAACAUUCAAACCACGAUCCAGUUCUAAUAAUAGAACUUUGAGCUGUGGACACACCAAUCCUUCAGGAAGAUCUGUUAGUUUAUUGCCCAUUAACGAGAUUACUGUACAUCCUUCAAAGCUUUUAUUGCUCGUUGGCCACUCCAGCAACCCAAUGCCAGCCUUUACCAUGAAUCCGUAUUUUUCUGAUGAUGCUAUCCGAAUAGCAACAUCACGAACCAAGUCAUGCAUUUUCACAUAUUCUUCUCGUUCAGUUCCUAACAGCAUACAACAAGCUUUGAGGUUUUUGAUUGCCACAUAAACUCGUUUCCUUGCAUCUUCAAUGGACUCCGCAUCUUUAUGUAACCCAUAGCCAACUGCGUAUCUCGUCAAGUCCUCAAUUGGAAUGUUGUAAUCUUCUGGAAAUAAACAGCAUAGCAAGAAACAUGACUUGGUUUCGUCGGACGUCAAAUAAUCAUAGCUCAACUUAAGACAUGCAUAUGCAUUUUUUUGUCCGUCAAUUUGUUCCAAAUGCCGAAAUUGAGAGUUUUUUAGCUCUUCAGACGCUACUUCCCACUCAACAACAGAUUUAUCUCUUAGAGCCCUUCCCACUGUCACAAGUGCUACAGGCAAUCCAUUACAUUCUCUCGCAACCUUCUUUGCCACCGUGUUCAAGGUAGAGUCCUCGUCACGUAAAUCUGCAUUGAUUCUGAAUAAAGCCCAUGCUUCCUCUUUAGAAAAGAGACCUAAAAAAACUUUUUCCUUGCACUUCAUAUAAGAACACAUGUCUUCAAGACGUGUUGUUAGAAGAAUUUUACAACCCCUGUGAUCAUCACCAAAUGGGAUCCCUAUCUCUUGGAAGUCAAUAUCUUUCCAAACAUCAUCCAGGACUAUAAGCAUCUUCUUUCCCUGCAGUCUCUGCCAUAGUUCUUUUGCUCUCCCUUCUUUACUCUUCUUGUCAAAUUGCAGAUCUAAACUAUCUGCCAUUUGAUCCUGGAUGCCUGUGGCAUUUGGAUUCUGGGACACCGUAGCUAUCAAAACUUCAUCAAAAAGGUGCAACUCUUUGGCUCUCCUGCCUACUUCUUUCACCAGGGUGGUUUUACCCACCCCUCCCAUGCCGUACAGUCCGAUCAUAUUGACCUUGUCAUCUUUGAGAGCUUUCAUAAUCUGUUUGAAAGCUUCUUUUGACGAUCCUGAGAAUGUGAAUUCCUUUGAUGUAAGAAAUUUUAUCUCUUGAAGGGGUGCUUUGUGGGACACUUUUGGAAACUUUCUGCUUUUUUCUUCAUGUUUUCUCGAAGUCUCCGUCUUCUUUGCCAGUGCCUUGCUUAACUUGAAUUGUCGCAUCGAAUUUGGACACCAAGUAAAGCAUUUGCCAAUUUUUCCUUUUUCAUUUUGCAAACGUUUCACACCUUCAAUUUCGUUUUUUGCAUUUUCCAGCCAUGUGUUGACAUCAAUCUCAAUUUCUUCAGCAUUCCUUUCAGCAACGUUGACAGCAUCUUGCAGACGAUAAAAUGCCAAAGCCAAGUUCAUCAUUUGUUCAUCGAAUUCUUGAACAAAAUUGUUGAAACAGAACAUGUAACGGAACUGCUUGAUUGCUGGUUCCACCAAGAGCUCUGCUAUCUUAGAUACAACGGACCCACCAACACUUUCGAUAGCCAUUUUCCACCAGUCUCUCUGUAUGGAAGGUUGAUGGUGAUCACUUUGACACCUGCACGAAUGAUACGAGCUGCUCAUCGCUUCCAACAACACAUCUAAUCAAUCUAAUGCUAUGAUAGGUCAAUGUUUUUUUUUUUUAAAAAAAGUUAUGAAUAAGGAGACAAAAAAGACUUGCAAGGAAGUAUAAUUAAUGGAACGAACUCAACAAAGGAUCAAUCUUAGCCAACUAAAAUCUGUAAUGACUAUCUCUGCAUCAUACGCUUAUUUACACAACAGCUUUAUCUAAUUUUAAACACUCAUUUCCUCGAUUAUUAAGUAAGGGGAAUAUCUUUUGUUAUAUCUAGUUCAUGGAUCUAUGUGCUUUUUUCCAUAAAACAAAGAUAGAAAUACUUUUUUUUUUCUUCUCAAAACCAAUAAACAGAAUUUCAUUAGUGAAAGAUAGCAUACCACCGAUCUAACGAAUACAUUGAAACAAAAUAGUUUACACUUAUGAGUUUAAAGCAGCAAUUCCCAUAAAAAUGCAAUUUUAUGAAAUAAUUAAGAUAAAAAGCAUAAUAUAAAGAUAAUGUCAAACAAAUAAAAUUAAGAAUAAUAUGCACAAGUGCUCACCUAGCAAAGAGAGAAAGGAAUGGAAGGCUGAUGAUGAUCACUUUGACACCUGCACGAAUGAUACUAGCUCCUCAUCGCUUCCAAUAACACAUAUAAUUAAUCUAAAGCUAUGAUCGGUCAAUUGUUUUUUUGUUUUUUGAAAAUUAUGAAUAAGGAUAAAAAAAGACUUGCAAGGAACUCAACAAAGGAUCAAACUUAGGCCACUAAAAUCUGCAAUGACUAUCUCCGCAUCAUACACUGAAGCAAUAAGACUUGCCCACAAAUAGGUUUUGCUCUCGAGUUGUUGUGAUUGCCCUCGCAUAUGCGCUAUGCCUAAAAGUAAGCCCAAAAUCCUAAAAAAAGUCUUUUUUUUUUUGUUUUUUGUCGAUCCUCUAUUAAAUUAAGGCAAUCGGCAUUGAUGCUUUUUUUUUUUUUAAUGAGAAAAGGAGGGAUUGUCAACAAGGUCGCUGUUCAGUAACUCUCAUGUGUGAAAUCAAAGACCUGCACCGAGUUUUUCAUUGCUAUCCUUUGUUUUAUUUUUAUUGAAAUACACUCUCCCUAGUUAAUUUCCUCUUGGCACCUUUUUUUUAUUUAAUUGAGUUUUGUUUGAAAAUAUAUUAAAUUAAUGUUUUUUUAUUAUUCUAAUAUAGUGAUGUAAAAUAUUAAAAAAAAUUAUUUAGAUAUAUUCUUAAACAAAAAAAUUAUUUUAAAAAACAUCUUAUAUUACAAUAUUAAUCCCACACUCUCUUGGCAUUCUUAAUCUUUUUCUGGUUUUACUUUUAUCCUUUUCUUUUUUCUUUUUUAUUAAGACAAAAAUAUACAAGAAAAAAACCUCUUCAGAUGGUUCAUGUUCAAACCCUAAAAUAGGUUUGAUGGAAAUAUAGAAAUUAACUAGGGAGAGUCUAUUCCCACUACACACCUUAAGAGUAAAAUUUGUAAUAAUUAGGUCCCUUUAACCUUAUUAUGCCUUGUCUUUUAGCACCACACAUUUCCUCUCUGAUUGAGGCCAUAAAAUCAUGUUCUUGUUUCUCACUCUGUCCCCGCUUUUCAAAACACUCCCAUGUUCUUAUUUCAGCGGUCCUGACGAAAGAAAGAAAACAAUGGUGAGAAGAGGUCGAUUCACGAGGACAAUAAUGUUGUUUUAAAAACUUUGCAUGUGAUGUUAAUAACAAAGAUAGUAAUGGUGAUUUUCACGAGGAAAAUAAUAGUCAAUUCCCUGUCAUUUUCAAGAAAAUAAUAAUAUUUAAAAAAAUUUGCAUGUGAUAUUAAUAAUAAUAAAAAAGUUUCUCUCGUACGCGUCUUUUUUUUCAUUUAAGAAAAUCAAAUAAUUUGAAUGAUUACUUAGAUAUUUCACAAGUAUUUUUUAAAAAAAUAUAUUUAUUUAUUUAUUUUAAAUUAAUAUUUUUUAUAUAUUUUUUAAUUAUUUUAAUUUUCUGGUGUCAAAAAUAAUUUUUAGAAAAUAUAUAUUAUUUUAAUAUAUUAAAAAAAUACUUUGAAAAGCAACUAUCACAUUUCUAAAUUAUUAUAUUAAUUUAGAUUAAUUAAUUUUAUAUAGUCACAUAAUUUUUUAAAAAAAAUUUUAUUUUAACUUUGUCAAAUAUAGAUAGUUGGUUCGGCUGAAUUUCAACUUAAAAAAAAAUAUAUAAAGUUAGUUUGCAUAUCCUUUGAUAUUAGUAGCAGUCGUCAAGGUGCUAGAAGGAGGGAAAUCUACAACCAGCAACAAUCAGAAGAUAUCACCAAUCCAUUACAGCUAAAAUAUUUUAAAAAUUAAUGUUAAAAAAUCCAGCCUCAAUCCAUUAUCGAAAUGUUUGUUUGAAACCACACUAACUUUAUAAAAAAAACAUAUUAAAAUAAAUUAUGAAAUUCAAUACUUAAUAUUUUUUUAAUUGAUAUAUGAAAAGAUACUCUUUGUAUUUUAUAAAACAAAUUAAAAAUAUAUAUGAAUUAAUAAAUCAAAAGGAGUUGUUAUCACUAAUUUAAUAUUAAAGCAUAAAGUUAAUCUUUAUAAUAAAAAUAAAAUAUAGAUAAACAUGCAGAUAUUUUACAAUGAUUGUUAUUUUUAUUUUAAUCAUGUUUAGAACAAAUCAAACUAAUUUCUUUGAAAUAUCAUGCAACUAAAGUUAUAUAAAAAAUCAAUCAUUAUUUAAAAAUAGAGCUAAUUUAAUAAAAAUAUUUACCAACAAACUUUUCUUAUAUAAUAAAACUCGUUAAUAUCAAAAAUAAUAAGUUUCGUCAUUAACUAAGUUUAUCUCUCUUUCACUAUUUUGAAGUGACGUUUUUUUUUUUUUUUUUUUUUAAGUUAAGAGACCUCCCAAAUCAAGCCCUUACAUGGAUGGAUUAGGUUUCAAAAUUGAACUAGCCUUCCCAUGCGACCUAGGUAAAAUCUAGUUUGAUAUUAAGGGAAAAACAAAUCAACUGAAUGACUUUUUAAUUUUUUUUUUAUAUACUAAAAUAAUAAUAUUUUUUAUUAACUUGGAUCAACUCAUAAAUUAGAUGAUGGGCUGGAUCAGUUCAAUAACUUAUUUUUUUUUAAUUUGUUUUCUAACUAUAAGAUAAUAAAAGCUGACAUGCAAAGAAAAGCUACCGAAUACAGUAAAGAAAACCAUAGUGGAGGUUUGCAACAACAAAAAAGUGCCCUCAAAUGUUAUAUAAAAAAAAAUCAAACGAUAUUUAAUCAAACAACAAACAAAAAUGUUUUAUCAAUCAAAUAAACUUUUUUAUAUUAAAAAAAAAACAAAACACCAUGAAGGGGUGUAAAGAAAUAAAGCAUGCUAAAAUAAUAUGAAAAAAGGUUACAAUUAUUUUUUAGUUUAUUUUUUUAUGAUAUUAUCAAAAAUUAAAAAAUAAUUUAAUUAAAAAAAAACACUUUUUUUUUGUAAAAAAUGAUCUCAAGGUCAAUUUAAAAAAUUAACACGAUGAUUAAAAGGUAUUUGGGAAUAUGAUUGUGAUUAUUUUUUACUUGAAAAUACAUUAAAAUAAUAUUUUUUAUUUUUAAAAAAUUAUUUUUGAUAUCAAUAUAUCAUAUUCUAAAAAUGUAUAAAAAAAUAAUUUAAAAUAAAAAAAUAAAAAAACAUUUAGUUUUUUUUUUAAAUAUAAAAAAACACAUGCGUAAAUCAUUCACCGGUCAGAACUAUCAUCAAGUCUGAUACUAUCAGGAACAAUUAGCUAAAUCGUGUGUUUCACGCGUCUAGAUCUUUUAAAAUAUGAUAAAGAAUCGAGCGUUCGAAGCACGCGCAUGUAGUGAGAGUGAAACUUAAUUCUCCCACUGGCUCUCCAAUGAUAAAGGCAUAGGUUUAACUGAAGAAAACAAAAUGCAUUGAAUGGCUGCCAUUAAUGGGACCUCUGCUUCUUCUUCAUUCAAUUUCACCCCCGGUAUAUGUCAAUUAAACCCCUAUAAUUCGAAGCCUUUUACAAAAUGAUUUUUAGCUGUGAAAUUUUUCAAUUUAACUCCUAAUUGACCCCAAAACUUUAAUUUUCUUGUGAUUUUAUCUCUUAUUUCAAUCAAUCGAUUAGAUAAAAAUAAAAUUUGGUCUUUUAAAAUUUCAAUAUUCUCAAUUAAGUUCAAAUUAGGCUCCCAAACUUAAUGUUUUAAAAUUAAUUUGACUCUUUUAAAGUAUAAUUAAGUCCUUAAACUUAAUUAAAUUCUUUAAUUGGACCCAAAUUAAUUCUUAAACAUAAUUAAACUUUAAUUUGGCCCAUGAUUAAAUCAAACUGUCCUAUUACAAAUUUAAUUAUGUCCAUGAACUUAAUUUUUAUGCAAAUUCAUCAAAUAAUCAUUUAAUUUAACCUUGAAUUUGCAUUAUUUCUCAAUUUUUAAGCAUAAUAGGGUACAAUUAAGCCUCAAAUUUCCUUCAAAAUUGUAGUUUGAUUUCUAUGUAUUUUUGGAAUCUUCCUCAAUCCGCUUUCUUCACAUUAUCAAUUUUUAUUUUAUUAUUUUAUUUUUAUUUUUUUAAAAAAAUAAAUUUAAAUAAUAACCCAGAAAUAAAUUAUUACAUUAUUAAUGAUAUUAACUUUAAACAUUAUAUCGAGUGUUAUCGCUCCUGUCACUAUUUAACGGUCACAUUAAUAUUGAAUUAAUAUAUAUUUACUUAAAUACUUCAUUGUACAAAAUAAAAAAUUAAACAUUCAAAAUUACUUUAUCACAUAUUCGAACACUUAUUUAAUUUGGGUAAAAGUCACACUGAUUUACACAAUAGCUUUAUCUAAUGAAGCUGAUUUGGUUUCAAUUUUAUUACCUGAAUUUUACACACUCAUUUCCUCGAUUAUUAUGUAACGGGAAUGUCUAUAUUUUUUUAUAUAGUUCAUAGAUCUAUGUGCUUUUUCCAUAAAACAAAGAGAGAAAUACUUUUUUUUUCCUUCUCAAAACCAAUAAAAAGAAUUUCAUUAGUGAAAGAUAGCAUACCAUCGAUGUAACGUGAAACAAAAUAGUUUACACUAACGAGUUUAAAGCAUUAAUUCCCCCAAAAAUGCAAAUUUAUGACAUAAUUAAGAUAAAACGCAUAAUAUAAAGAUAAUGACAAACAAAUAAAAUUAAGAAUAAUAUGCACAAGUUAGAAGAUGUCAAUUCCCUGUCAUUUUCACGAGGACAAUAAUAUAAUGGUCAAUAAUGAUUACAAUUAUGUUUUAAAAAGUUUGCAUGUGAUAUUAAUAACAAAGGUUCUCUCGUGCGCGACUUUUUUUUUCAUUUUAAAAAAUAAAAUAAUUUGAAUGAUUACUUAGAUGUUUCACAAGUAUUUUUUUAAAAAAACUAAAUUUUAUUUAUUUAUUUGUUUGUUUUAAAUUAAUAGUUUUUAAUAUGUUUUUGAUUAUUUUGAUAUGUUGAUAUCAAAAUUUAUUUUUAAAAAAUAUAUAUUAUUGUGAUGUAUUUCUAAAUAAAAAACACUUUGAAAAUCAACCAACAUCACACUUUUAAACAUACUUUGAAUUCAUGGGUUAUUGGAUUAUUGCCUCAAUUUAGAUUAAUUAAUUUUAUUAAAGAAGCAUAUUUUUUUCUUUAAAAAAAAAUUCUUAAUUUUAAGUUGAUUAAAUCUAGAUCAGAUCUGGUUAAUUCAACUGAAUUUUCAACUUCAAAAAAAAAAAAGAAGAAGAAGAAAACAUGAAAUAGUUUGCAAAUCCUUUGAUAUGAGUAGCAGUCAUCAAGAUGGAAGAAGGAGGAAAUCUACAACCAGCAUCAAUCAGAAGAUAUCAGGGAACUAAAAUUAACCCUCUAAUAAUUAAACAUCUUGGGAGUAUCCUAGAAAUCCUUUGAUAUUUUAAUUGCUCAUUAAAGCAUAUCAAUCAGAAUNNNNNNNNNNNNNNNNNNNNNNNNNNNNNNNNNNNNNNNNNNNNNNNNNNNNNNNNNNNNNNNNNNNNNNNNNNNNNNNNNNNNNNNNNNNNNNNNNNNNNNNNNNNNNNNNNNNNNNNNCUUAAUUAUAAAAUUAUGCAAUUUAGUUUUUUUUAUCUAAUUUUCUAAUUAAAUCAUGUAAAAGUUAGCUUAAAUUAAAUUGAUUGAUUUUAUGGAUUAAAAUAUAAUUUUAAUAACUGAUAAAAACAUGACUUAAUUUUUAAUAAAACUUUUAAAAUGAUAGCUUUUUUUAAAAAAAACAAAUACCAUUAAACUAUAUGGGUGUUAUCAAUUUUGCACCCAAUUUAUUUUUUAUAUUAAUUUUAUUAGUAAACUAUUUUUAUUUUUCAAUUAAGGAUUUAUGUUACAAUUACCUAAAAAAAAUAAGUAUUUUACAAAUUAAUAUCAUUGGGAGUGUCCCAGAAAUCCUUUGAUAUUUUAAUUGCUAAUUUAAAACAUAUCGAUCAUGAAGUAGUUCAGCUGAUGUGAGUGUCUCAUGAUCUAACUUCUACUAGUUUAUUGAACUGUUAUUCAUUGGAUAAUUUUUUUUAAAUGUAAAAAAAUAUUAAAAGCAUGAAGAUCUUUUAAUUAUAUUAUUGAUUUAAUAAGUUAAUUUUAUAAUUUAGUUUUUUUUAUCUAACUCAAGUUUUUAAUUAAAUCAUGUAAAAUUUAGCUUAAAUUAAAUUAAUUGAUUUUAUGGAUCAAAAUACAAUCUUAAUGAUUGUUAAAAACAUGACUUUUUAAUAAAACUUUCAAAAUGAUAGCCUUUUUUUUUAAAAAAAAAUAUACCAUUAAACUACAUGGGUGUUAUCAAUUUUGCACCCAAUUUAUUUUUUAUAUUAAUUUUAUUACUAAACUAUUUUAAUUUUUCAUAGAAAGUAAACAAAAAAAAUAGCGUGAGUCUCAACCUAGAUUAACUUGCCAAACCCGCAACCAAGGUCAUGAGAUUGUGAUAACUUUAUAAAAAGUAAAUCAAAACAAAUUAUAAAUCUUAAUUUUCAAUAAACUUAUUGUUUAAGGUUGAAAUUGAAAAAAAAAUCAAUCUAAAAAUAUUAUAUAAUAAAAGACCUGAGUCUACACGACUUAAUUCGUAAAACACGUGACCUGAGUCAUAAAACCAGGAUAACCUCAUAAAAAACAAACCAAAAUAAAUCAUGAAGCUUAAUUCAUAAUUAACCCAAUAUUGAAUGAUAAAAUUGAAAAAUACCAAUUAUAAAAAGACAAAAAAAAAUUGAGCUAACUCGUCAAACCCGUAAUACGAGUUAUUAGACUUAGCUAACCAUAUAUAAAGCAAACUAUUAUAAAUUAGUAAGCUCAGUCUCCAAUAAACUAAAUGUUGAAAUAUGAAAUUAGAGAAAUAAUAUAUAGAUUUAGAAAACAAAAAACAAAAUUAAAAAAAUAUUAUUGGAAUGAAUAGUGUUUUGUGAGGCGGUAAAUAGUAAAUUCACCACCUCUUUUAGUUUAUAGCGUAUAAAGAAACUAAACUAACCAUAUAUAAAGCAAACUACAAUAAAUUAUUAAACCCGGUCUCUAAUAAACUAAAUGUUGAAGUAUGAAAAUAGAGAAAGAAAUAUAGAUUUAGAAAAAAAAAACCAAGUAAAAAAAACACUAUGACGAUGCAUUUUUUUUAAAAAAAAUUAAGAUUUUGAUCAUUGACUCAAGAUAAAACAAAUAAAAAGAAAUGAAAAAAAUACCUAAGUCAAACUUGGUAAAUCUAUUGAAUCGAUGACUUGAGACAUAAUAUCAGGAUAACUCUAUAGAAAAAAAUGGAAAAACAAAUACCAAUUUUCAAAAAACUUAAUUAAAAAAAAAAAUCUCUCAUGUAUUGCCUCAAUUUAAAUACACGAGGAUGAAAUUAAAAAAAUUAAUUUAAUUAAAAAAAUCCUUUUAAAGAAGCAAAAUUUAACAAAGAUUGAAAGAAAAAACUUUGAGGCAACCCUUGUUAUUUUAAAAAGAAAGAUAAAUCCUAUAAAAAGAGGGUAAAAAAAGAAUGUUAUAGGUUGAAAUAUGAAAAAGAAAAGAGAUUAAAAAAAGAAACAAAACACCAAAGAAGCCCGAGUGAACCCUAUAAACUCGGGUUAAACUCUUAAACCCUCAAUCCAUUAAAUUCUUGGCCCAAGCUCAACGCAGGAGCUCAACACCUAAAAAAUUAAAAGUUGAAAGAUAAAAUCAAUCACUUUAAUUCAAUUUAAAAAUAAAAUUCCUUCAUAAAAACUAAAUUCAACAAAGACAAAAAAAAAAAAACCAAGGCAAUCUGCGUUAUUUUUAAAAAGACUAAAAAAUACAAUAUAAAGUGAAUUAAAAUAUAACAAAAUGCUAGAGGAUGGAAAAAAAAGGAAAAAAAAACAAAGAAACUGGGGUCAAUCUCUUAAACCAAUAAACCAUUAAAUUUUAGACUCAGACUCAACUAAGAAGCUAAAGACUCGGCUAAUUAAAUGUUGGAGGAUGACAUAAUAAAAAAAAAAUCAAUCUAAAAAAAUCUUGCAAAGUCAAAAAAAAUACAAUAAUAAAAAAAGAUUAGAUUUAACAGGAAAAAAACUAAAAAAUAAUGAAAUUGAAAAAAAAAAAAUUGUGAAAACCAUCUGAAAUUGAAAACAAUUCUUAAUUUAGUAGACUAUUCUAAAUUAAAAAAAUGCAACAAAGAGAAUAAGGAUGAAAUUGAAAAAACCACAUAAUUUCACAUAAUUUCAUAAAGUAUUCUAAAUUUAAAAAUUAUAAUAAAGAGAAUAGGGAUGAAAUCAUAAGUACAAUAAACUUUAGGGACUAAUUUGAUUUUCUAAUCCCAACAUGAAAAUCGAGUAGGAGAGAGGGGAAAAAAACAAAAGGUCACACGCGUCACACCAACCACUAUAGUGCUACACGCGUCAUUGAUUCAUUGGGGGGGGGGGGUUGAGAUUCUUCGGAAGCCUCCCUGGAAUCACCAUUAUGGCUAUUGAAUGACGCUACACACACCGUUUGGAGGUGGCAAACAUUGUUCACAUGAUUCUGUUUUUUUUUUAAUUUAAUUUUUUAAUUUACCAAAUUAUUUUAUUAUCUCCAACGACACCCAAUAACUACUAAAUGACCACAUCUAAAUGACAAAAAAGCGUUAGAGUCAAAGAUAAUUGUUUUAAAUUUUCAAGGGCAAAGAAGUAACAUACUUGUUGAAAAAUCAAGUCAAGGAUUAAUAAGCCCCUAGACCCAAGAUUGUUUUCCAAGGGUAAUUAAAUCAUCACAUUGUGCAAAGAAAAUGCAAGAAUAUCGUUUAGCCCUUCCCUUUGAAACAAUGACCAAUGUAUCCCAUAAAAAAAACCAUUAUAUCUCUAAAUUCAAGGCAUGCUACUUUGCUCACUAAAGGGUAAAAUCAGCCAUUAGUCUUUCACUAUACGAAUCCACAAUGAAAGGCUGCUAUCUUUUAGUAUAUAAUAUAAUAUAAAGGAAAAACUUGUUCAUUUAAUUUUUUGAUUUAAAUUAAUAACUUUGGAAACUGUAUUUAAUUUUAAAAAAUAUUAAAUUAAUGUUGUUAAUUAAUUUUUAAGAAUUUUUUAAUGAUUUUGAAGUGUUUUUUUAAUUAAAAAAAAUUAUUUUAAUGUAUUUUUAAUUGAAAAAUAUUUUUGUAAAAUCAUUCUACAUCACAUUACCAAACAUACAAUAAUGAUAGUUUUUAUAGUUAUGAUUUGAAAAAAUAAAUGUAACAAAAACACUUUUAGUUGCGGUUUUUUUUUUUAAAUAUAUUUGGUUAAAAGUAUUCUAAGAUAACUUUUGCAUGUAAAAUAGAUAAAAAAACGAAUAAAAAAUAAAUUAUUUUAUCUUCCAGCAAUUAUGUACGACGUACAAUGCAAAAAAUCAGAAGUUAAUUAGGAACACAUGGCUAACAGUCUUUAAGACUUUGACAUCAUUUCAACAAUAUAAAAAAGGGUAAUAACCUUUAUAAACUCUAUCGAUGGUAAUAUAUUUAAUAUCAGCCUUUUGUUAUAGCAUUGUUAUAUAAGACAGAAUAAUAACUCUUUGAAUCACAUAACAUGCGUCCGUUAACCUUUUUUUUCUUAAGUUUCAAUUUUCUUUUAUUUUUAAAACUAUUUUAAAUAAAAAUAAUAAUAAGCAAUUAAUUAUAAAGAUAAUUCUUAGAAAUGUAUAAAAAAGUUAUACAUAAAUUUGUGUGAUGGGAUAGUAUUUUUAUUUGUAUCCCCCUUAUCUACGAAUCAUCAUGGCUUUGCCUAUGAGAAUAGUCACCAAGCUGUUUUCUUUAUUGUUCAUCAAAUUUUUUUCUUUUGAGUGAGUGAGUAGGUUUACCAAGAAGUUUUGGAAUUUAUAUUCAAGUAUAAAAAUCACGUUGAUAUUCUUAUAUUUCCUCUCAAGUAUAUAACGGUUACUCUAGGUCUGCCGAGUUGAUAGAAUUUUGCUUAAUUACCCACAUUAAAUCUUAUAUGUCUACUUUUUAUUUGUUUUUUCUUUCCAUUAAAUUGAGUAGUUUGUACUUUGUAGUGUUGAAUGUUGACUCUCGAUUCGCAUUUACCAACACUAAGGUGGCUGGUAGACUUUUUUUAUGAAUAGAAGGUGGCUUACUGAUAUCUUAUACUUGGUAAAAUAUAAAUUUAUUAUCUAUUUGAUAAAGUAUCAGGACGUUUUAGCAUGACUGAUGUAUUUUUACGCAAAGAAGAUGGUUUUAGGUAUGCUAUAGAUUAACAACUAGGUUUAUUUUUCCCGUGUGUCAAAUAUUUGGAGAAAAGAGAGAAGAUAAUGCGACUUUUUGUUCAUACUGAUAAUGCGAUUGUUUUAAAUAUGUGCAGAAGGCAGAAAACAUGCACCUAAAGCUGGACUUCAGGGCUAUAUUGUUUUCUAAAACUGUUGAAUUUCAAAGUAACCUGAAGAUUGGUCAUCGAUCCUCGUACACUUUUGAAUAUGCCAAUUAUCAAUAUAAUAUUUCUAAAGAGUUAGCUGCACGUUUGAAAAGUUGCAUGGGAUUCUGAUGCGAAUUCACUUGUCCAUACAUCGAUUUGAUAUAUGGUUUUGCGAUAGAAAUAUAAUUUAGAUUCUAGAACUUCAUCUUCUUCCGCAGUACUGUCCAAACAUCAUCAAUAAAGAAUGAUUUGGUAGUGGAGAGUGGGACUGAUUCUUGGCAUAUUUUAUCUGAGUCGGAUGAUUAUAUGUUAGAAAUCCAUGAAGCGCAAGGGCACUCACACAACUUUUCAUGGCGGUGCUCCCCAGUAGCUAGAGACAAACAUUUAAAUAACUCAGGAUAAGUACACGAGGAUUGUUAGGGGAAAUUAUUUAUUUUUUAGUUAUUUUUAUUUAAUUUAGAAAAUUAUUUUUGUUUAUGGUGUUUAUUUUUUUAUUUAGUUUAGAAAAUUAAAAAAAAUAGAUAACAGUAACUACUCUCAACCAAAUUUACAAUUAACAACAAAUAUCUUUAUAUUUUAUAAGAACAACAAAAUAAUUAUUACGGUGGAUAAAAAAAUUAUAAGAAGGGUUACAGUGAGUCCUCCUUCUGUUCAUUUUUAAUGCCGUAAAAGAUAAUAAAUGUUUCCUAAUUAAUUGGAUGGCCUUGUCUCUAGAGUCACUUUUUCUUCGCAUACAGGGCAUGGACUUCGGAGUCGUUUUCAAGCAAUUUAAAGAAAUCUUUAACAAGUCCCGUAUAUUAAGGCUCUGCAUUGAUUUUUAUUGGGGGUAUUUUGACAUGUUUUUUUGAGGUUAUAUAUAUAAUUUAAUAAAUAUAAUUUCAAUUCAAAUUUAAAAAUAAAUUAACUUGGAAUUAUACCAUUUAAAUUUUAAAUACAAGUAAAAAUAUAAAAGUUGACAGAUUCGAUCAACUUGACGGGUCAAAAAUAACACAAACAAUAAUAAAAAUAUAUUUUUACUCCAAAUAAAUUUUAAAAUGCUUAGCCCACGUGCGGAAUUCAAGCUUUCACACUCGCUUGCCUCUUGAAUUCUUGUAGUAUUCUUUCCUCUUCCUGCCUAAAAUAUGAACAACAGGAAGCUGUUCACACUGGCGAUGGUUUCUGUAUUCCUUUUUUUAUUUUUUCUGUCAAGAGCGGACCUCCUGACAAUUAGCACAAAUAUAAAAUUAUAAUGAUCUGUGUGAGGGCCAAUCCUCUUCUUGCUUUCCUUGAAAACCUCCAAGAAAUACCAGUAACCUUUCAUGGUUUUUGCUGAGCCAAUCCACUUUUUGGCUUCCUUGAAAACCUCUCAGAUAUACCAGUCAACUCGUUGCUUAAUUUAAGCUCAUGGUGUUUCUACUUUUAAGCGCUCUCUCUCCCUUCUUUUUGUCUUUUUAUUGACUGGUAUUAACCAAGAGUUUGAUUAAAUAAACCUUCCAUAAAUUUGACAGCGCAUGUUCUUCCCUCCAACAGUUGACAACUUGCUUGUGGAUUAAUGUAAAAAUUAAUUAGUACUAAUCAUGUUUGUUGAGGUUAUUUGUAUUUUGUCAUUUGGAGCACAAAUUUUUAUUCACAUGUUAUGAUAAUUAAAUGCUUUUAAAAAAUUCAGAUUUAAAAAUUAGGUUGUGCUUAGUUAGUAUUUUAGGAUAUAAUAAACAAAUAUAGGAGUGAUGAGGUUUGGAGGCAUGAGAAAUACAUUCCUCAUUUAUUCUAUCAAGAUUUACAAAUGAUGAUAAAAAAAUAAAAUUGAAGAAGAAUCUUAUUUUUAUUAGGUUUCAUGAAAUACUCUGCUCACAUAUUUUUUAUAGGAAGAAAUUCAGAUUAAUAUUUUUUAGAUAUAAGUCAAAUAAAUCUAAUUUUAAAAUUAAUUUGGAGUAAUCAAUGUUGGCUGAGGUUAUUUUGAUUUUGUAAUUUAUAGCCGAUUUAUCAUGUAGGUGUGUGGGUGCCUUUUGUUUUUUUAACUUUUAUCCUUGUAAUAAUCAAAUGCUUUAAGAGAAUCAGAAAUUAAAUGAAAAAAAUUAGGUUAUUUAGGUUAUAUUUGUUUAAUAUUCAAGGGAGAUACCAAUAAAAAAAAAAACAUAAAAAGAAUGUUAGAGGUUGAAAUAUGAAAAAAGAAAACAGCUUGAAAAAAGAAAGAAAACACCAAAGAAGCUUGAACGUAAAUCCUAUAAACUCGAGUUAAACUCUCAAACCCGCAAUCCAUUAAAUUCUUGACUCAGACUCAACGUAGGAGCUUAACACCUAAAAAAAUAAAUCUUGGAAGAUGAAAUCAAUCAAUUUAAUUCAAUUUAAAAAUAAAAUUCCUUCAUAAAACUAAAUUCAACAAAGACAAAAAAAAAAAAACCAAGGCAACCUGCAUUAUUUUAAAAAAGACUUAAAAAUACCAUAUAAAGUGAAUUAAAAAAUAACAAAAUGUUGGAGGAUGGAAAAAAAAGGAAAAAAAAAACAAAGAAACCGGGAUCAAUUUCUUAAACCAACAAACCGUUAAAUUUUAGACCCGGACUCAACUAAAAAGCUAAAAACCUAGCUAUUUAAAUGUUGGAGGAUGACAUAAUAAAAAAAUCUUGCAAGGUAAAAAAAAAAAUUGUGAAAACCAUCUAAAAUUAAAAACAAUUCUUAAUUUAGUAGACUAUUCUAAAAAAAAAAAAAAGGCAACGAAGAGAACAAUAAUGAAAUUGAAAAAACCACAUAAUUUCACAUAAUUUCAUAAAGUAUUCUAAAUUUAAAAAAUUAUAAUAAAGAGAAUAGGGAUGAAAUCAUAAGUACAAUAAACUUUAGGGACUCAUUUGAUUUUUUAAUCCCAACACGAAAAUCGAGUAGGAGAGAGGGGAAAUGAAAAAAAAAAGGCCACACACGUCAUACCAACCGCUAUAGUGCUACAUGCGUCGUUGAUUUGUAGGGGGACAUUGAGAUCCUUCAGAAGCCUCCCUGGAAUCACCAUUUUGGGUAUUGGAUGAUGCCGCACAUAUCGUUCGGAGGUGGCAAACAUUGUUCACUUGAUUCUAUUUUUUUAAUUUAAUUUUCUUAUUUACCAAAUUAUUUUAUUGUCUCCGAUGACACCUAAUAACUACUAAAUGACCACAUCUAAAUGAUAAAAGAGCCUCAGAGUCAGAUAAUUGUUUUAAAUUUUUAAGGACAAUGAAGUAACAUACUUGUUGAAAAAUCAAGUCAAAAACUAAUAAGCCCCUAGACCCAAGUGAUUUUUUUUGUUUUCCAAGGGUAAUUAAAUAAUCACAUUGUGCAAAGAAAAUGCAACAAUAUCGUUUAGCCCUUCCCUUUCAAAUAAAGAAAAAACUCGUUAAUUUAUUUUUUUGAUUUAAAUUAAUUUCCUUUUAAACUGUAUUUGAUUUUUAAAAAAAUAUUAAAUUAAUGUUGUUGUUAAUUUAAUUUUUUAAGUAUUUUUAAUGAUUUUAAAGUGUUUUUUUUAAUUAAAAAAAAUUAUUUUAAUACAUUUUCAAUUGAAAAAUAUUUUUGUAAAAGCAUUCUACACCACGUUACUAAACAUCCCAUAAUGGUAGUAUUGCGAUUUAAAAAAAUAGGUUUAACAAAAACAUUUUUAGUUGGGUUUUUUUAAAAAAUAUGUUUGGUUAAAAGUAUUAUAAGAUAAACUUUUGAACGUAAAAUUGAUAAAAAGCAAAUAAACAUGAAUAAAAAAUAAAUUAUUUUAUCUUCCAGCAAUUAUGUACGAGGUACAAUACAAAAAAUCAGAAGUUAAUUAGGAACACAUGGCUAACAGUCUUUAAGACUUGACAUCAUUUUAACAAUAUAAAAAAGAUAACAUUUUCAUAAAUUCAAUAUGAGAGCAAAAUUAAAGAAUUUAGAAGAAGAUUUGAAGAUUGAACUUUUAGAGCUCUAAUCAACCACAGUAACAGGCAUGUGGUUGUAAGAGGUCAAUUGAAUGGACAGCCAGAACAAGUAAUGUGUUGUCAAGAAAACACCAAGCGAUUAAUAAUUGAGCAAUUUCAAAAGGGCACUGUUUGAUUGCAGGAAAACUAUGUAAAUUUUGGGACCAUUAAUAUUCCACUUUUAGGGACCUCCAAGAAAAUAAAUCAUCAUAACUAAGAAAAAAAAAACUUCGUAAAAUGCAAAAUUUUCCUACUCAAUUAUCUCAGGAUUCAAGCACAAAUGUUCUUCUGCUUUAAUUGGUGAUUAAUUAUUUAUUCAACACAUAACAAUGUGUUUGGUAUCUGAGAAACUCCAGGGAAAGUGAACUAAACUGACAAAAAUCUUAAAUGGUGUUAAAUUAUUUCAGCUACUUUCCCUCAAUUUUUUAGGUAAACAAGAGGAGCUAAAUUUAUUCCCAACCUAAACAUCAAGAAUUCCAGUAGAACAAAAGAAGAGACUGUAUUUAAUAUAGGAAUGAAAUUAAUUUUUUCAAGAUCCUACAUAGAUCUCUCAAUAUUUUAUAUUGAUUCAAUAAUAUUAUUUUGAGUGAAAUACAACUCAAAACACCACAAGGAUCAAAUUAAUUUUUUCAAGACCCCACAUGAGUCUUUCAAUAUUUUAUUUUGAGUGAAAUACAACUCAAAAUAACACAAGAAUAAAAUUACUUUUCAACUUCUCCUCUCCACAAAAAACAAGACUUGUAAGUUAUAAAUACUCAAUGAAUCUUCAAAGUUCAAGGUUCAUAAUAUCUUCAUUCUUAAUAUUUUUAAUAUAUAUAUAUAUUUUUAGAGUUUAUCUCUCUAAAAUAUCAUUAUAUUUUCUCUCUCUAUAUAAUUUCUUUCUUAAACAUUUAAAAAUACCCACAUAUAUCAAAUUUGCAAGUAACAACUACUUAUCAUCUUAGCACACUAGACAUCAAUCUUUUUCACUUACUAGAUAUCACCUACCAAUCAAUUUAGCUAAAACAAUUUUAAAUUUCUAGAAUUAAAAGAUUAGCUAACGUCCAACAUUCUCUUAAUCUGAUCUUCAAGUGCCACAUGUCAAACAUUCGGGUGGAUGUCGUUCUAAGCGAGCCAAGGACGAAAGUAACUAAUGAGUUGAUUUUUUAAAGGCUGUAGACAAUGAAAACAUUGAUUGAGCUGCACGUCGUUUAGUAACUUGAAACUUGAAAGGGAUUUUUUUGUGUAUUUCCAAAAGUAAAUGAAAAUGAGGACUGUACCAUUCAAUCAACCAAUCAAUCAAUGUACAAAAAAAUGAAAGGGAAAAUGCAAUUUCGAACAAAAUAUUGAAAAGGAAAAUGCAAUUUGAAAAGUUCAAGGUUCAAUGCUUGACUUGACAGUCUGAAUGGGCCACCAAUUGACAACUUGCUUGUGGAUAAAUGUAAAAUUAGUACUAGAUUUGUUGAGGUUAUUUUUAUUUUGUCAUUUAUAGCACAAAUUUGGAAAGGUUUUAUUAUUAUUAUUAUUGUGAGUGUUUCCUCUUAAAACUUUUAUCCUAUGUUGUGAAAUUCAUAUCUUUUUUUAUAAACUCAGAUUUAAAAAUUAGGUUGUAUUUAGUUAGUAUUUUAGAACAAAAUAAAUAAACACAGGAGUGAUGAAAAUGUGUUAGAUGGUAAAGAUGAAAAUAGCUACAUAAAAUAAUUUUUUUUGGAAUAAUUUUUUUAAAACAAUUUUUAUAUUUUAAAAAUAAAAAAAUAUAUAAAGACAUGUCUUUUAUAUUUUCAUUAUCUUUAUAUUUUCAUUAUCUCAAAAUAAUAAUCAAAUAAUAUCUUAAUCAUGAAGUUUAAUACUCUCGCCCCUCCACAUGGAGAAUGAGGCUUGAACAUAUACUUAUUGGAGGCACGAGAAAUUCAUUCCUCAUUUUUUUUAUAUCAAGAUUUACAAAUCAUGAUUAAAAAAAUUGAAGAAAAAAUUGUUUUUUUUAUCAAGUUCCAUAUAUUUUUAUAGGGAGAAAUUCAUAUUAAUAUAUUUUAGAUAUAAGUCAAAUAAAUCUAAUUUUAUUAUGUAGGUGUGGGUGCUUUUUGUUUUUCAACUUUUAUCCUAUUUUAUGUUGUAAUAAUCAAAUGCUUUCAGAAAAUCAGAAAUUAAAUGAAAAAAAUUAGGUUAUUUAGGUUAUAUUUGGUUAAUAUUCAAGGGUGAUACCAAUAAUAUAUAUAUUUGAUGAAAGAAAACCCUUUCAACACUAAUACCUCUGCUAACUUUGGGAAAAACAUCAUUAGCAUGCCAGCAGCCACGCAUUAUCAAAGCCCCCUCCUCAUCAACACUGCUCCCAUAGUCCCAUAGCCUCUUGAUUAUUGUCAACUGCUGCAUCUAUAUUGCAUUUGAUAAAACCAGGAGGAGGUUUCUCCCAUUUAGGCAAACUAGGAUGGAUUGCUAUAUGUGCUGGUGUAAACCGAGAAGCAGACCACCUAGAGAAAAGUUCAGACCUGCUUGAACAGUUCUAUAGGACGAGAAGGAAUAAUUGUUCCUUACCUGUUCGUUUCUCCUAUUCCAAAUAGCCCAGAUUGUGACUGCAAAUUUUAACAACAAAUUCUCAUCAAGCAACAUUGCUUGUCAUCCGUGUUUGAAUGCCCAACUCUUUCCAGCAGCUCUGAGCAUAAGAACAAUGGACCAGUACAUGUUCAAGAGACUCCCCAACAGCUCCACAAUGAACACAACGAUUAUCAGAUUCCACCCCUUUUUGCAUCAGACGAGCCUUUGUGAAAUUACAAAAAAGAAUUUCUUUGAUCAAGUUUCAUGAACUACUCUACUCACACACAUAUAUUUUAUAACGAGAAUCUCAUUAGAUACAAGUCUGGUAAAUCUUAAACAAAUAAUUGUCGGUUUUACACAAGUAUUAUUGAAAUGGGACUUGAGAGCCCAGCAAUCUCACUCAUAAAUAAAGGAAAGGGAAUUCUUAUUAUUAUAAGAGGCCGUGAAGCUUUCAUUAUAAUCUCACAAAAUUCUUAUCCAAUUUCUCAAUCAAUAAAGCAUCGGGCAUAUGAGUUGUAUUAUUCCGUUGACUGAUAGCUUCUAAGAUAUAUCUCCACAAGGAUAAAGCCCUUGAAUAAUAUUUUAUGGAGUUCACCACUGUGCUAGCUUUGUCCCUUAGGAGGUUAAUCCCCAUGAGGCACUUGUUCCUCACUUUUUUGGGUAGAAGUUGCUUAUGAUGUUGUAUUUAGCAUGUUUUUUCAACAAUAGUCCAAAUUUAAUGGACUAAUUAAUUGUUGUGUGUGAUAAAAUUAAUCUAGUAAGUUUAGCUUUAGACAGCCUAAAUAAAUAGAAAGGUGAUUCCUUUAGCACAAAUUUGAAAAAGUUUUAUUGUUAUUAUUAUUAUUAUUGUGAAUGUUUCUUCUUAAAACUUUUAUCCUAUGUUGUGAUAUUUAUAUCUUUUUUAUAAACUUAAAUUUAAAAAUUAGGUUGUAUUUAAUUAGUUUUUAGAACAAAAUGAAUAAAUACUGGAGUGAUGAAAAUGUGUUAGAUGGUGAAGAUAAAAAUAGCUAUAUAAAAUAAUUUUUUUUGAAAUAAUUUUUUUUAAAGAAUUUUUAUAUUUUAAAAAUAGAAAAAUAUAUAAAGACAAGUCUUUUAUAUUUUCAUUAUCUUUAUAUUUUUUAUCUCAAAAUAAUAACCAAAUAAUAUCUUAAUCAUAAAGUUUAAUACUCUCGCCCCUCCACAUGGAGAAUGAGGCUUCAAAAUAUACUUAUUGGAGGCACGAGAAAUUCAAUCCUCAUUUUCUUUAUAUCAAGAUUUACAAAUCAUGAUUAAAAAAAUUGAAGAAGAAAUUGUUUUUUUAUCAGGUUCCAUAUAUUUUUAUAGGGAGAAAUUCACAUGUAUAUAAUCUUACAUGUCACUCAUUCACAUGUAUUUAUAUAUAUAUUCAUGUAGAAACCAUAUUAUUGUACGAUACGCACAAUAACAAGUUAACCACAUAAAGAAUCCGUAAUAGAAAUAGAACAUCAAAAUGAGGAGAAUGAGAAUCCACACAUUAAACAAUAAGCUCACAAAUGAGUAAACAUUAUGCCCUUGCUUUUGAAGGUUCAGACACUUGAAAAAGAAACACAAAUGGGCAAACAAACAAAAGCCCUUUUUUUGGAGGUUCGCACAAUAAAUAACUAAACACACAACAUUUCUGGAAGUUCACACAACAAACACAUGAAAUAAUUAAGACAAAUUGUUGUAGCUAAUGAAACAGCUGGAAUUACUUCCCACCAAUGUCGAGUUGAUCAUCACAUAGGUAACCAACCAACCUAAUGCAAACAUCAAGAACAAAGAUCAUCCAGGCAUCUCCUUCUCAGUAUUGGCAG